CGAUAAAAAUCUGAUUACAAUAUGUAGUCAGAUUUUUUUAGAAAAAUAU
rfam:Streptococcus sp. DORA_10 Q617_SPSC00358, whole genome shotgun sequence.